UCCGGCUAGUCUCUUACCUAAGUUGUUUGUGCUCUUCUCUCCCAGAGUGAAAUUCUCCCUGGAGAACCAGACCUAGAUUUUCCCCAGCCUAUGGUCUGAAUUAUAUUGUCUGAAUCCUUGUUUGGCUGAAAGUACUUCACUGUGCUUGCCUGACCAAGAGCCUCCAUCAGCUUCCUGGAAUCUGCACACUUUGUGCUUUCAGGCUCUACCUUGCUGUCCUUCCUGUUUGGCAAGCUCCACUCAUGCUGCCCGCAGACUGUUACAAAAAUGGGGAUGUGCGUGCCGCCCAUAAACAGCCUGCAUCAGUGUGCAUCUGGAGCGAGGACAGAAAUGGCGAAUAUUAUUCUUGUGUUAACCAAGUGUUCAUGUCUACUGAUUUGACUAAACCAAGAAGAAGUAGGAGACAAGGCAGGGAGAGGACCGGAAGAAAGUGUUUGAUGUAGGUAGACAUGAAAGGGGGCAAAGAGAGAAGGAGACAUUCGGCAAAGGUCGCCGGGUCUGGGACAGCCGCAUUGAGGAUUAUAGCCUCUGCACAUGGUCGUGCGCUUAACCCCUACAACACCAGUGCCACGCCCCAUCAUCAUUCCCUUUUUGUCUAAAGAAUUAUUCAUUAAGUGUGUACAGACUGUAUUUUAUACUGGGUUAUAAAUAGUUAAGUCCAAAAUUUUCUUGCAGUUUAUCAAUAAAGAUACAGGAAAUUGUUAAAAUACCGGUGGAAACAUGGAAAAACCAGUCAGCAGUUAUAAGCAGGGUUUGAUUUCUGCAGUGCCGGAGGAAAUUUUUCUUUAGAUUAUUGAUAAAGGUAUGAAUAAUUUUCAAUAUGCCAUUUAAAAAAAAAAAUGUAACUAUAAAAACAGAUAAAUACUUUUUUUUUUUUACAAUGUUUUCCUAUCAUUCAACAGAUUCCUGUCCUAUUUCCUAACAGAAACAAACUUCUGCGUUAAAUGAAAAUAAUUUUAAAUCUAAAUAUGCUAGGGGUAUAUAUAUUUAUGGGCUUUACUUUAUUUGGUAUACGUUGGGCUUCCAAACAAUUAUGUAAAUAAGUCUUCCUAAUAAAAAAUGUUUUGAUGUUGUCGUUAUUUUUGUAUUGUUAUUCUUCCUGCAGAAUUAAACUAAACCUAUACAUAAUUUAU